CCAACCCCCCCCCCCCAACCCCUCGCCUAUCAAGCAAUCUGAGUCACCCACAGCAGGGGACAAAUGCUGGGGAUAGAGGAGGCGUCUAGCAUCCCUGGGAAUGAGAGUCCUUCCCCGCAGGAGUGUCCAUUAGAGCAGAGCCCCACUGAGUUAUUCUUAUGCCCUGUUUGACCCCAGGGGGAUGAGAUGGGUGGGGUUUACAGAAAAAAAAAAACAAUUGGUUUCAACUAGUUCUACCAGUUUUUACCCCCUACAGUAAAACAUCACUUAACCAUUUUAACACGCCACAAAUUUCCCUUUGCAGAGACAAUGGGCUUUGGAGGAAUUUAUUGGUGGUGGGCAAACUGAGGCCCAGAGAAGUAAAGUGAUUUAUUUGUUCAAGGA